UACAUCAUUUCUAAUUUCUGCUUUUUGAUUUGUAAUAUUAUUCUGUUAUAUUGCAUCUUAAACAUUCCUAUUAGUUAUGUUAUAGUUUUUGGAGAACUGUUUAAGCCACCCUUAUCAAAACCUAAAAUUAGUAAAAGCUCUCGGUUCAUGACGACUGAUUUGAACUUAUCAACCUGGCAAUUGAAACUAAGGCCUGAUUGCUAAUGUUGUAAAUUUUUAAAUAAUUGUUAUUAGUUGCCGUAGAAGUAAUCAGCCGUAAAGAAAAUCAAUUAAACAUUUGGUAAAAUUUAUUUUUAAAAGCUUAAAAACAGCUCAGUGUUUAGUAAAUUUAACUGCCUUAAGAAUAUAAAUAUCUGAAGUAGACAUAAUGUUAAAUAAAAUUUUAUUUGUACAUUUACAAACAUGUAUAUAAAAUUCUUUUAUUGUGUAUAUAUAAUAAUUGAUAACUAAAAUAAAUAUUUUAUAUUAUUAAGUUUAAUUUUUUUUUUUGUUACCUCAAUAUAAUUGGUAAUAAAUAUAAUCUCUUUAAAAUUAAUAAUUUUUAUUUUCUAAUUAAUAAGGAUAAUUUUGAAUUUUUAUAAUAUAUAUUUAUACUAGGGUAUAUAUGAAAUUGUAUUAAAUACAAAACUAAUUCUUAAAAUUAGAUUUUGAAAAAUUACUCUCUCGCCGCUUUUCAAAUCUACCGUGAGAUGAGGUGAUUUUGUCAAAAAUGAUUUUUAAAAAAUUCAUUAAAUAUCAAAAUUUGCUUUUAACUUUUUAAAUCACUUUUGAACUUCUCAAAGCAAUCCUAAACAGGCCCUAUGAAUGUUACUAACUACGCGUAACUUCCAAGCUUCUAUCUAAUCCGGCUUUUGGCAACUUAAAAUAAUAAUUAUUUAUACAAUAUAGAGUACUCUAUGAACUGGCAGUGGUAAGUGCCUACUGAUGGUUAAUGAGUAAGCAAGAUAUCAUUAUACCGUUUUUCCAUCCUUUGUACCUUUUGAUUUUGAUUUUUAAUUUUUUUUAAACCUUAGCAACUAUCUAGGAUAGUUUCUGAUUUUUCACUUAAAUUCUUUUGUCAACAUUAAGCCGAAAGACUUUACGUAAGCACGCGUCAACAUGAAAGUUGGGAGGGAUUUUAUUUUGGGUGGUCAUACAAGCUAGUAGCCCAUUGCUUUUUGGGUUUUUUUUCUACCUACCAAUGACUUGGAUUGGUUCGUAAGACGGUGAAAAUUGUUUUAAUGGAACUUACAACACAGAGUACUCCAUGAACUGGCAGUGGUAAGUGCCUCCUCAUAGUUAAUUAGUAAGAAAGAUAUCAUUCUACUGUUUUUUCCAUCCUUUGUACCUUUUGAUUUUGAUUUUUAAUUUUUUUUAAACCUUAACUACUACCUAGGAUAGUUUCUGAUUUUUCACUUAAAUUCUUUUGUCAACAUAAAGCCGAAAGACUUUAGGUAAGCACACGUCCACAUGAAAGUUGGGAGGGAUUUUAUUUUGGGUGGUCAUACAAGCUAGUAGCCCUUUGCUUUUUUGGUAUUUUUUUCUACCUACCAAUGACUUGGAUUGGUUCGUGAGACGGUGAAAAUUGUUUUAAUGGAACUUACAAUACAGAGUACACUAUGAACUGGCAGUGGUAAGUGCCUACUGAUAGUAAAUUAGUAAGCAAGAUAUCAUUGUACUGUUUUUUCCAUCCUUUGUAGCUUUUGAUUUUGAUUUUUAAUUUUUUUUUUAAACCUUUGCAACUAUCUAGGAUAGUUUCUGAUUUUUCACGUAAAGUCUUUUGUCAACAUAAAGCCGAAAGACUUUAGGUAAGCCCACGUCAACAUGAAAGUUGGGAGGGAUUUUAUUUUGGGUGGUCAUACAAGCUAGUAGCCCUUUGCUGUUUCGGCAUUGUUUUCUUCCUACCAAUGACUUGGAUUGGUUCGUGAGACGGUGAAAAUUGUUUUAGUGGAACUUACAAUACAGAGUACUCCAUGAACUGGCAGUGGUAAGUGCCUACUGAUGGUUAAUGAGUAAGCAAGAUAUCAUUGUACCGUUUUUUCCAUCCUUUGUACCUUUUGAUUUUGAUUUUUAAUUUUUUUUAAACCUUAGCAACUAUCUGGGAUAGUUUCUGAUUUUUCACUUAAAUUCUUUUGUCAACAUUAAGCCGAAAGACCUUAGGUAAGCACACGUCAACAUGAAAGUUGGGAGGGAUUUUAUUUUGGGUGGUCAUACAAGCUAGUAGCCCUUUGCUUUUUUGGUAUUUUUUUCUACCUACCAAUGACUUGGAUUGGUUCGUGAGACGGUGAAAAUUGUUUUAAUGGAACUUAAAAUGAGCCCAAGUCACAAACUUUGGAAUGAUAUAUACUGGCUAUAAUUCCUUGUAAACCAUAUAUGUAAAGAGACAGGUGAAUAGGUAGUAGUUAUCAAUUAUUUUGUCAAAUAGCUCUCGAAAUACUCUUCUUUUGAUCUUUCUAUUUUCUUCUUCUGUUGUACUAUGGCAUGUUGCAGUGGG
rnacentral:lncRNA from 1 species